rnacentral:rRNA from 1 species
UACGUAGGGUGCAAGCGUUAAUCGGAAUUACUGGGCGUAAAGCGUGCGCAGGCGGUUUUGUAAGUCAGAUGUGAAAUCCCCGGCUUAACCUGGGAACUGCGUUUGAAACUACAAGGCUAGAGUGUGGCAGAGGGGGGUGGAAUUCCACGUGUAGCAGUGAAAUGCGUAGAGAUGUGGAGGAACACCGAUGGCGAAGGCAGCCCCCCUGGGCCAAUACUGACGCUCAUGCACGAAAGCGUGGGGAGCAAACAGG